rnacentral:lncRNA from 1 species
GGAAGGAUGGAAGAAAGAGAAGGAGUGAUGUGUUAGCUCAGAGAGAGGAAGCCCACCCUUCUGUAGAUGGAAGUCAGAAAAAUACUGUCCUGGAGACAUAGAAGUAUAAUAAUAUUAUUUAGAAAUAGGAAGGUAAAUGCUAGCAACAAGAGCUCAAAAAGUUGAAAAGGUGUUUCUAAGGAGUAAGACUCAGAAAUGCAGAAAGGGAGGCCAAGGAACUACCAGGUUUUUUGCAAGUCUUGUCAUAAAUUUGAAUUGUAAUCAUGUACAUGUACUAGUUUAGCAAUAAAAAUUUAAUGCAGGUAUGUAAACUUAAUGACAUAUGCAUAGCUGUAUAUUCUAAAUUUUUUAAAGAUUUUAUUUAUUUAUUUGACAGAGAGAGAGAGAGCACAAGCAGGGGGAGCAGCAGGCAGAGGGAGAGAAGCAGGCUCCCCUCUGAGUAAGGAAUCUGACGUGGGGCUCAAUCCCAGGACUCUGGGAUCAUGACCUGAGCCAAAGGCAGGCACUUCACCGACUGAGCCAUCCAGGUGCCCCACACAGCUGUACAUUCUAGAGGGAACAAGAGUUCACCAUGACCAGAUCCACAAUGGGGAGUAAAAGCAGAUGCAGUCCCUGCCCUCUUGGAAUGUCUCUUUAAACAUGGCAUGCUGUCUCUUAGCUCAGGACCCUGAACCCAGCUUUCCCUGACCACUCGUCUGUGUGGAAAAUGCAGACGCAGUCAUCAAGGUUUCUUUCACACCUUCCCGGACUCCCCCUCGGGAAACAGGCCUGUCCUGAGCCCUUCUGCCCCCUGUGCAAAACACCACUGCAGUGACUGUCUCACUGUACCAGAUGCAUGUGUUGACAGGCCCAUCUCCCAGCUUCUCAUGCAACAGCCAAUCCUAGAGCAGGUCUUAACUUUCAGAGACACCAAGCAUACGGGAGUCAGGGUGGCGAGGGAUCUGGAGCUCCUCGUAAAGGAGGGCAAAAAUCCGGGACCUGAAAAGGCAAUGUGAUUAAGUGUGUGAGUAGA